rnacentral:rRNA from 1 species
UGAGUUUACGCUCUACAACCCUUUGUGAACAUACCUAUAACUGUUGCUUCGGCGGGUAGGGUCUCCGUGACCCUCCCGGCCUCCCGCCCCCGGGCGGGUCGGCGCCCGCCGGAGGAUAACCAAACUCUGAUUUAACGACGUUUCUUCUGAGUGGUACAAGCAAAUAAUCAAAACUUUUAACAACGGAUCUCUUGGUUCUGGCAUCGAUGAAGAACGCAGCGAAAUGCGAUAAGUAAUGUGAAUUGCAGAAUUCAGUGAAUCAUCGAAUCUUUGAACGCACAUUGCGCCCGCCAGCAUUCUGGCGGGCAUGCCUGUUCGAGCGUCAUUUCAACCCUCAAGCUCUGCUUGGUGUUGGGGCCCUACAGCUGAUGUAGGCCCUCAAAGGUAGUGGCGGACCCUCCCGGAGCCUCCUUUGCGUAGUAACUUUACGUCUCGCACUGGGAUCCGGAGGGACUCUUGCCGUAAAACCCCCCAAUUUUCCAAAGGUUGACCUCGGAUCAGGUAGGAAUACCCGCUGAACUUAAGCAUAUCAAUAAGCGGAGGAAAAGAAACCAACAGGGAUUGCCUCAGUAACGGCGAGUGAAGCGGCAACAGCUCAAAUUUGAAAUCUGGCCCUAGGCCCGAGUUGUAAUUUGCAGAGGAUGCUUUUGGUGCGGUGCCUUCCAAGUUCCCUAGAACGGGACGCCAGAGAGGGUGAGAGCCCCGUACAGUUGGACACCAAGCCUUUGUAAAGCUCCUUCGACGAGUCGAGUAGUUUGGGAAUGCUGCUCAAAAUGGGAGGUAUAUUUCUUCUAAAGCUAAAUACCGGCCAGAGACCGAUAGCGCACAAGUAGAGUGAUCGAAAGAUGAAAAGCACUUUGAAAAGAGGGUUAAACAGCACGUGAAAUUGUUAAAAGGGAAGCGCUUGUGACCAGACUUGCGUCCGGUGAAUCACCCAGCUCUCGCGGCUGGGGCACUUCGCCGGCUCAGGCCAGCAUCAGCUCGCUGUCGGGGACAAAAGCUUCAGGAACGUAGCUCUCUUCGGGGAGUGUUAUAGCCUGUUGCAU